CCCUUAGAUGUCCGGGGCCGCACGCGCGCUACACUGAAGGAAUCAGCGUGGCUAUCUCCCUGACCCGAAAGGGUUGGGAAACCCGUUGAAUCUCCUUCGUGAUAGGGAUUGGGGCUUGAAAUUGUUCCCCAUGAACGAGGAAUUCCCAGUAAGCGCGAGUCAUAAGCUCGCGUUGAUUACGUCCCUGCCCUUUGUACACACCGCCCGUCGCUACUACCGAUUGAACGGUUUAGUGAGGGCCUCGGAUUGGUCUCGGCCCGCUCUUUACCGGGCGGCGCCGUUGGUCGAGAAGACGCUCGAACUUGAUCGUUUAGAGGAAGUAAAAGUCGUAACA
rnacentral:rRNA from 1 species